GGCUCCGCCUUCCGGGGGCGCGCGCACGCUCCGGCCGAGCAGCCCCCGCGGCUCCUGGGGCGGCGGCGGCGGCCCGCGCUCAGCGGCCGGGCGGCACCUGCGCAGGGCCCGGCCCGGCCCGGUGAGGCCCUGCCCCGAGCUGCCAACCCCGCACCGGGCACCUGGGCAGCUACGACCGGCCUCAGCGGCGCCGUAAGAGGUGCUGGAAGCGGAGUCAGCGAAGGCGCAGGAACUCCGACCCUCCCGCCCGUAACGUAAAUGCGAUACGCGCUCUGAGGGGUUGUUGUUGCAGUCGUCACGUACAUAAACAGGCAGAAGUUAAUCUAAAAUAUCCCCAGGAAUCACUGUGUCUACACGCUGCGUCGUGCCAGCUGAUUGUGGUGACUAAGAUAAGCCUUUUUGUCUGCUGGCUGCCCACAUAACCAGCUCGGUGAAGAGGGAGGUUUGCCAGCUGGAUUCUGCCCGCAGCCCUGCGCUGCGUGGUUCGUGGCGGUAGCUGCCGUGGCGAGGCGCAGGGUUGCUACUGGCGUUCGGGAGCGAAGGUGCAAGCUGGUGAUUUCAGGCCAAAGUAUAACUUUAGGUGGGAGGGGGUGGCAUAGUGUGGUUUCAGGCAGUAGUUUUAUUUUCAUAAUUAAAAUAGGUAUCAUUUGGCAAGGCAUGCUAUAUCCUGAUAAAUGGGCCUAGAAGGAUGUAGUUUGAUAUGAGAACUCUCAUUUUCUGUUAUGUUACAUAACUACUUGAUCUCUGAAUCAGGAACAAUCUCUCAGCAUCCCUUCUCCUGUUCAAACUGCACUCAGCUAGUAUUUAUCUGCUUGCUGUAGCCGGCUAACAGGUCCCAGCAUCAGCUCACCACUGCUUAUGGUGAUCUCGAAACAUAGAAGAAAAGUACAGCUCUCAACUGAGUUCAGCUGCCCUGCACCGACGUAUCUGCGGCUGAGAACGGCGGUGCAGAUUCAAAAAGGAAGCGUUCCAGCUCUUGACGAAGUGAAAUUAUUUACUUAUUCUUACAUCUUCUUUAACAAGUGGCUAUGAGCACAUUUGUUUUUGGAGUUCACUGUCAGAGGAUAAUUGCAGCUAAGUUCUAAUGUUUGCUUUGGACAGAGAAAUCUGUGGGCUCCACUUGCUUUUUGGGAUGCAUUCUGGGCUCCUCCCAUCCUCCCAUGAAAUGAGCAUAACUAAACAGUGAGAAACUGCCCCGCUGGGGCUUCUGAUUUGUUUUGCUGUAGUUGGCUACAGUCUUGAAAGCCUUUUUCUAGGGGAGUCAUGAUAUAUUAUAUCAGAUAUUAUCACUGCACUCCAUCUUGUGGAAGAGGCGAUGAUACAGACUUUGAAAUGAUCCUAUAGAGCUGUUUUGAGUAAUUAAACCCAACAAUACUUGGUUCUUACAGCCAAAGCAAGGAACUACAAAGAGCAGUGGAUGCAAAAAGGAUCUAGGAGAAAUGAUUUGCCGUCAACAUGUAAUUAAGUUCCUAGAUAUUCUUAAAACAUCUCUUCAGAGCUGAUUAUUUCUUUGACAUCUUUUUAUAUCUUUAUUGUUCAAGAUGAUACUAUUGCUAGCUGCUGAGGACAUGGACAUUCUCACAGCACUCUGCAUAUUGUAGAAUCAGCUGGCACAUGCACUUUGUGUGCGCUGUUUAAUUAAAAAAAAAGAAGACUAACAACUUUUCAAACCAUGUGGAUAGUGGAAUUUCAUCCCUGACAAAGAACCUAAAUCUUGGGCACUGGGCACUUUAAUCCUCAGUCGACCUAGCUGUACCCAAUGGAUUCGUGUACAUGUCGCUUGGAUUUAGGUAGGCACUUCACAUCUCCUUCUUCUUUGUUUUGGGAAGGAGUUUUAGGAAACUGUUCAAAAAGUGCAGUCUGAAUAGAGGAACUAAGAAGCAGAAAGGAACUUGUUUCUCAGGUGAGCUUGCCAAGGAGCGCCAGAGGUUGGGAGAGUCAGUGGGCUGAAAAGGCCUACCAAAAACAACAGCCACCUGCAGCAGUGACAGUGGUCUGGGGGUGUAUGAGGCAGAGGGACAGGCUCCACUAAGUGGGAUUGAUCUGUAGGCCACUGCCUGUUUUUUACCCUCAUAAUAAGUAAAUAAUAAUCUGAUUGUAUAUCAUAUCCAGGAGAUGAUAUUGAGGGUUGCCAUCUGUUUUACGAAAAACGAACAAACAAAAAAGAAGUGUUCUUCGCUCUUCCCAUACUGCCUUUUGACCUUUUCUCCCUUGAUGUUCAGCACUGCUUUGGGAAAUCGGACUUGGUAUUGAGGCAACAACUGUGAACUAUAGCAGGGGGUUUAUUUGUACGUAUUUGUACCUGGCUGGGUGCACAAAAAAAUGAGGAACUUAUCUGGAUUCCCAAUUAUAGAACGGUUAACCUUGUAAUAGUUGCCCUAGGACAAGCUUGAAGCCAUUGAAAUGGCUUGAAAGCCAUGUAACUUUAAUGGAUAGCUGAAAAUACAAAGAGGGAUAGUUACUCCAAACGUUCCUUGAGUGGAAUAAAAAAGAUUUUCUUGAGAGAGGACUGCAGAAUAGCUUAGUCAUACAGGCCCAAAAAAUAGGGUUCUGUGUGGGAAGAAGUUAGGAGAAAAUUCUGUUGUACAAAUGAGAAUUCUCUGAAUUACCUCCCCCAGAAGCAAGUUCCAGAAAGAGGCUAAAUUUCAUUAGCAAAAGUGAACUGUAUUUUUUUUACAAAACUUUUUCCUCUCUUGCACUAGCAGUAAUAUAAAGGCCUCUCUCCAUGAUGCAGUGUGGAACAGCAAUGAUAAACUGAGCGCUGGCAUUUUUUUGUUUCUUUUUGCAGGGAGAGGCUUAGACAACGCAGUGGUCAGUUUGCUGAUUGCCAGUUCACUUUACUGCUCCAAACUUUGCUAACUCUGUACUGGCAGUGAACUCGAAACAUUCUAGAGAAGAGGAAAAGAAGCUUCUUGUUCCCUCAGAUGAAUCUCUGAAACACGUGGCCAGCGUGAUACCAGCAGAUCACUAGCAGUGAUCUUGGUUUGAAGUUUUGGAGGUGCAGAGCACCCAUCAUUCUCGACAGAGUGUGGCUGCCCUGCACUCCAAAAUCCACAGCUGAGAAGGGCAGUGCAGAUCCAAAGGGGAAGCAUUCCUUCUCACUGGCUGCUUUGAAAGGUCUUGACCAAGUGAUUCUCUUGGAGACUGCUCCGCAAACUGAAGGACCCAGAGGAACCCUGUGUUUUCUGUAUUGAAGAUGACUUUGAUCACUUAAAGGCAUUUCAAUUACUUUGUGGGUCAAUCCCCACAAACAUUUUGUCUGUGAUUUUAAAUAACUUGUGUGAGCUCCAAUUGAAAAGCAAGGCACAUCUGUGGAUACAUGAUGACACUGUGAUUGGACACCUACUAAGCUACUGCUGAAUGCAGUAUUCUGCCCUUGCCUCUGAGUGCCCACUUCAGCCUCAUAGCUUGUGCCAGUGCUAACACCCAUGCUGUCUCACCAUGAGUUGGAUCUAUCUGAUAGUUAAUCAUUGAGGCAGCAAGGGGGGGAAACAAAGAAAGAGGAAGCAGGUUAGUUUUCCACUGAGAGAGAUUACUGGCUAUCUCCCUACUCUGGGCAAAACAGGAGGGAUUGGGCAUGCAUGCUCUGGGCUGGAUGAAGGGCAAGACCAUGUCCUUGCAGGAGCAGCUUAUGCUUAGAUUGUAAGUGUAGCAAUUGCAUGCAAGCAGUUGUAUCUAAUAUUUGCUGUUACAGCAGGAAUAACAAGUUAGGGGGGUUAAAUCCCUUACAUUCCUAGCUGUACGUUCACACACCUCAGCCAAAGCAUUCGUUCAGGCACACAGCACCCUGGCUCAAGGAGCUGGUCUUCCAGGAAAAUCGUCUCUCUUUGCAGUUCAUUGCCUGCCAGCUUAGCUCCCUGAGCUAUUUCAUUGUUCAGUGGUCCAAGUGUCAAUCACAAGGGAGAAGCUGGACCACAGAAGUCCCAAAUCAAAUUGCUAUGGAAUUGCACCCUUUAAGAGAUUCCCCAGAAACCAGCGACCAGCCUUACAGUCAGAUUGACUGCUGACUGCCGCUGCCCAGGACAGAGAAAGUGGUGAUUACUACACAUUUCCUUCUUCAUCCCCAUCCCACCCCUCACUCGCUCCUCUCCACCACCCAGCCCCAGCAAUGUUGGACCUAGCAGUGGUGGACUGCUGGAUGAAUGGCACAGCUAGCUGGUCUAGCAGAAAGUUUUUUCCUCACCCCCAAGGAAAGACUUUUCUACUGGAUUAACCAGCUGAAUCAAAACACACCCUACACCCACAUCAUCACUAGGUCUAUGUAACACAAAAGAAGUUGGAGGGGAGAAUAAGGAGCAGAGGAGGACUGUUCCUUUCCACUGUUAAAUGGCUUAGCCUUAAAAUGAAAUGACACUCCGAUUCUGCCUUGUCUUGCAGUGUGUAAAGUGAAUGCAAAGUGGGUGUAAAAUGCUGCCAUUUAGGCUUUCACAGGUAUUGAGGCAAUGAUUGAAUGGAUCAUUUUUCCAGAGCAGCACUGGCUGAAACCAUCCUGGUCCUGCUCCAGCUUUGCUGCUGAGUGUAGGUGUUUGUGAUGCUGUGUACAGAACUGAACUCCAGGGGACUGACCCACUCAAAAAUAUUUUAAAUUUUGACAAAUUAUUCUCUAGCUGGACCAGCUUCCCAACACAGGUAACUCUCUGCUACAGCAUUUGUGAGCUGUGGGAACUGCUUACAACAACGUAAAUGGUGCUGCUGUCAAACAUGUAACCACAGUCUGACUGUACGUGUUUCAGUGAGUCUUGGACUCUUACAUUUCUUUGCAGCAGAAUAAAUCUAAAGAGGCAAUCUGAUAUCGUAGCAAGGUUGUUAGCAAGUGGAAAAUGGUGGCUGGUGGUAUGUCAAAGGCAUGAUGGAAAUGAUUCUCAGAACUAUCACCUUCUUGUAUUUGCGUGGUACCAAUAAUUCUGCAUUCCAUAACUGGAGAAAAUAAACAGAAGAUAGCAAUGGAAGUACAGGAUUCCCUUGACACUGCAAUCUUACGGUAGAGCACAAUGAGUUAAUACGUAUGUGGCAAAAGGAUUUCAUAGAUUUAGAAAAUAAUAUUAGAAUAUAUUUUCCAUGUGAAAUGGCACAGAGGAGGGAAGAGAGACCAUUUCAAGUCAGGACAAUACACUACCUUGAAUAUGACAUCAAUAUAUAGUAUCCUCAUUUCAUUCCAAACUUCCAUCUUUAGCUUCAGUGCGGCACUGAUCAACUUACUUCCCUUUAUUACUUCAGUGAAAGCCAGUUCAAAGAAAGUUUAAUUUCUCAGCAGGUGUCCUCAGCUGCAGUAGAGGAGUACAUAGGUACUGGUAUUUUUGUGAAAAUUUCCAGCUGUAAAUAUCACAUAACCUUUAAAUACUGCACUAUAUCAAGUAGGAAAAUCAUUAAAAUUACUCAGAAGAAUGUAACAGUUUGCACAAAUCAGAAAUGUAAGAACAGGAUGUUCAUAUGAGAAGUUGAAAUAAUUUUGUGAUUACAUGCAGCAAAGGCACCUUUCGUUUUUGAUGUGACUGGUGUAGUAUUAUAAAAUCUAAUCCUGUGCAUCAUGUUAACAAUUUGGUCAUUUAUUCGCCAGAAAAUUUUAUUUUUAACAAAGGCUAUAAAUCAAGAUGGACAACAUAGAUGUAAUACAUUAAAAAAAUCUAAAUUCUUGUUAUGUAGAGUCAAAGGCAAUACUCCAUGUACCCAUUGUUAGGAAGAAAUGACCUUUAUAAUAAAAUGGAGUGACAAACACUUCACCGUAUCCUCAAAUUAAAUAAAAAGAACAGCUAAAAACUCACUUAUCAUUGAAAGAGAGCGUUGGAGUAAGAAAGACAAACAGUUUACCACUGGGAAACAUCUGUGUUGGAACCCCUUGCUAUAAAUUGUGAAGUAACUGGCAAAGAAGGAUCAUGAAAUAGUAAAUUUAAAACAAGGUUUUGUGUUCAAUGGAUUUAAUAAGAAUGUAAAAAUCUUACUAUGGUAUUUUACAUAAUUUGUCUCUUAAAAAAGAUACUAUCCUACUUAGGAAUGGGGAACGAUACCUGGGAAAUUACACCAACCCCCUUUUUUUUUAUUCCUUUUAGGUUGCCUUUGUCCUAAAUAUGCCUUACUUUUUUAGAGUAGCACUAGUAGUUUAAUAGUGACUUUCACCCAUGGAAGCUUUUACAGCUUAUACUCCUCAGGCAGAAAGAAGAUGUCUGAGAAUAUAUAUGAACAUAGUAAACAUCCUAGUGGGGGGGAGCAAUGGUCCUUCCAGCCCAGCAUUCUUUCAGCAACAGUGGCAAAAGACCUUGGAGCACAUCAAGUACUUUGAGUGUACAUCAAAUGAGCCAGCCUGUGGUCUCUCUUCCAGCUCCUCCAGAACCUCUUACUGAAGUUCUGGAUGCACUUUUCCCUUCACCUAUUUAUUUAUACCCUCCCUAUCCAAGGCCUUUCCAAGUUGCAAGAGUUACUUGUCAACCUCUUCCAGUCCCUGUCCAAGUUGGUUAUUCAUGUCACCAGGAGCAGGAAGCUUGAUGGGGGGACCCUAGUGGUUUUGUCCCUAGUGGGACAGGUUUUGAUUUUGCUGUCUUCCCACAUCUCCAGACAGAGCACCACUGGGCAGCGUCCAGCAGCUCCUUGGUUACAUUCAGGUAGUGGUGGGUGAUGUCAGGUUUUCUCUGCUUGGUGUUCUCCUCCAGUUGCCUAUUACUCUUCCCUUUAUUUCAUUUGUUGUCUGUCAUAAAUGGUUCUUCCUCCUUAUUUUCCUUUAGCCCUUUCCCUCCCUGGAAGAGCUUCAAGGUUUUGCUGAUAUGUACCUAGACAGAAAAGACUAGGAACAGCAGCAGUAGGAGAAACUAUUUAUGGAGGGCACACAAGCUUGGCCAUGUUCUGCAGGCCUUUUUCCGUUUACUCCCAGCUUCCAUGGUUUUUAGGAAGGUAAAUCUUUGCCUAGUCCUUUUAGUAUCCAUUUUUGGACCGGUUGUACGUGAACUUGUCUAAUUCCAUUUUGAACCUGCUGUUGGUAUCUGCAUCCACAACCUCCUUUGACAGCGAGUCCAGAAAUUCACUAGCUACUGUGUAAAAUAAUGCUUGCUUUUUUUUCAGUUUUAAACUAAUUUCACCAAGUGAACCUAGCCAUGAAAGUCAAUGAAAAAGUUCCAUACUUUUCACCCACCUGAAUGAUUUUGUAAACCUUGAACACAUCCACCUCAGCUCUCUCCUUUCCCAGGUGAAGAGUCUUAUCCUUUUAAUCUGAUGCAGCUGCUCCAUCCCUUUAAUCUUUUCAGUGGUCUUCUCUAUGUCUUCCCUAACUCUACCAUGUCUUUUCUCAGAUGCCAAGACCAGAACUGUAGACAACAUUCAGCGUGUGGGUAUACUAGAGUUGUAUGCAGUGGCAAAAUGAUGCCGUCUCACUACCCUUUUUGAUGAUGCCCAGCACCUUUCUUUUUCCUAAGUUGUAUCUGGUGGUUAGAUCUGGUAGUGCUGUGUGACAACCUGAGUGCUUCAGAGAAAGCCAAGUAAUUUAGCCAGCUGAAUGGUGUUAAUUUUUAGAGGUGAUAUUAACCUGUACAGGAGCUUCCUCUUAAUCCCGUGUAAGAGUAUUUUUGCAAUUUGUCCCAAUGAAUUGUGUCUCAAUGUUCCAAAUGAACAGCUCUAUUUUGAGUGAAGUGGAAUUCUUAUUUAGAUAAGUUCAAAUAAACUAUCUUUGAUACGGGGUAGAGGAGGUAAAAAUGGAGUAGAUGCAGAUCGUAGGAAUGAAGACAACAGAGAGAAGGUAAAUUAGGGUUACCUUUGCAGCAGCACUGGAGUCCACUCUUUCCUUGUGGCUGGUAUUCUCCACUCAGAGUAAUACAGAAGGAGGGGAAUGGUGCUCCUAAAACAUCAUUGUCAUCUUCACAGAUUUUUAAUUCUUUUUUUAAUUUCAUCUCUAACUUCUUUAGAUGCAUGCAUGCCAUUAGUGAGCAGUUGAUUUGUUUUUUUUUUUUUUUGUUGUAGUUAUCAGAGGCUUCACAAGAGCAUUGAGACAAAUGAGAGUGUGCUUUUUGUGCCUGUAUGUGUGCACACACCCCUUGUAUGUUGCAUCUCCUGACUUGAAGACCUUGCAGUAGAGCUUGAACAAACAGAUGCAGGCUGGAGAAAUAAAUAUUCCCUACUCAUUUUACCUAGGCAGGAGCUAGGUAGGAGCAAAGGGAGGAUAAAAUGGCUUUCAGGAGAUGAGACAGGAAGUCUGUAGAAGAAGUGAAAGAUUAGCCUAGACCUUUGAAUCUUCUGUCACCAAGCCACCUUUCGUCUUUAUCUGUGAACAAGCAUAUGGGAUUGCCAAAUAUUUAAAAAGCUCUUUCACUUU